rnacentral:rRNA from 1 species
CCUACGGGAGGCAGCAGUGGGGAAUAUUGGGCAAUGGAGGAAACUCUGACCCAGCAACGCCGCGUGAAUGAUGAAGGUCUUCGGAUUGUAAAGUUCUUUUCUAAGGGAAGAAGAAAGUGACGGUAUCUUAGGAAUAAGCCUCGGCUAACUACGUGCCAGCAGCCGCGGUAAUACGUAGGAGGCAAGCGUUAUCCGGAAUGACUGGGCGUAAAGGGUGCGUAGGUGGUUUGACAAGUUGGUAGCGUAACUCCGAGGCUUAACCUCGGCACUACUACCAAAACUGUUGGACUCGAGUGCAGGAGGGGCAAAAGGAAGUCCUAUUGGAGCGGUGGAAUGCGUAGAUAUUAGGAGGAACACCAGUGGCGAAGGCGAUUUGCUGGACUGUAACUGACACUGAGGCACGAAAGCGUGGGGAGCAAACAGGAUUAGAUACCCGAGUAGUC